AUUUUGGAACAAACCACUGCGUGGGUUGGAUGUGACACUAAGGGGCGCUACCACCCCCAGGUAGGGGGUUUCCACCCAAGCUCCUGAUGGAGGCACGAGUGGCAGUACCUUGAACGUCCGCAACCCCCACCCAUCCUCCCGAUUCUUAUCUGAGUCCCAGGCAGGCACCCACUAAGGACUGAAGCCCCCACCUUGCCAAGGCUACACUCGCAGUUUCUCAUCGGUCUCCGCCCUUCAAGUUCUUUACCUUUGAAUCAGUGGCUCGAGCGUACAGGAGCAAGCGAUUGGAUCUACGGAGAGGUGAGCGGGUCGCAAGGCUCGAUUUGGGAUCUGAUUGGUCAAGGCGAGUUCUUACCAAUCCGGAGCUUUUUCUGUGCGCACCGGAGCAUUAGCCCCGCCCCCAGUCGCGCGCUGAGCUCCAAUUGGCCGCUGUUUUAGCGCAGGCGCAAUGGCUUUUUGGUCCGAGUUCCGCGCCGUGGAGGCGGGACUUUCGGGAUGGAGGACAGGUUCGAGUCUCGUCGAAGCUCGUCGCCGUGUUGCAGUCUGCUCACUUGUCAAAGAUGCUGAAGAUUCUCCCGUAGCAGAAUUUACAACUAUAUCUCUUAUUGCUGCGGUGAUGGGGGCUGACCUCGUGGCUGCACCCACAGGAGCGAGGCCAGGGAUCGAACCUGCAACCUCAUGGUUCCUAGUCGGAUUCGUUUCUGCUGCGCCACAUGGGAACCCCAUGGUUCGUUUUUGACAAGCUUGAACUUAUUAACAAGGUGGAGCCCCUCAUGAUGGAGAUGAUGGAGGAGGAGUCACCACAGUCUCACUGGGCCUGGAAUCAUUUCCUAUGAGGAAAGCCUCUGAGGACUGUGAGGUGAAGAGUGCAUCAUCGUAAGAGCUAGUGGUUAGAUUUUUAAGUCAGAGGAGAUGAAACUCUUCUGAAAAUUGGGAUGAUUUUGACUGGAAAAGAUCACUAGUGCACUUCAAUUUUGCCAAUUUUUUUUUUUUUGUCUUUUUAGGGCCAUAGCUCUACCUUACGGAGGUUCCCAGGCUAGGGGUUGAAUCAGAGCUGCAGCCGCCAGCCUACGCCACAGCCACGGUAAUACCGGAUCCUGGAUCCUUAACCCACUGAAUGAGGCCAGGAUCAAACCCGUAUCCUCACAGAGACAAUGUCAGGUCCUUAAGCUGCUGAAACACAGCAGGAUCUCCCAGAGAUCUGCUUUCAGGUAGAUAAAGGAAGCUCUGAGAAGGCUUCUUUUUGCAUCAGUUGAUUUGUAGUUGCC
rnacentral:lncRNA from 1 species